rnacentral:rRNA from 1 species
GGAGUUAGCCGGUGCUUCUUCUGUGAGUGAUGUCCUUCCUGCCGGCUAUUAACCCGCAGGCCUUCUUCCUCACUGAAAGUGCUUUACAACCCGAAGGCCUUCUUCACACACGCGGCAUGGCUGGAUCAGGGUUGCCCCCAUUGUCCAAUAUUCCCCACUGCUGCCUCCCGUAGGAGUCUGGGCCGUGUCUCAGUCCCAGUGUGGCUGAUCAUCCUCUCAGACCAGCUACGGAUCGUCGCCUUGGUGAGCCGUUACCUCACCAACCAGCUAAUCCGACAUAGGCUCAUCCGAUAGCGCGAGGCCCGAAGGUCCCCCGCUUUCCCCCGUAGGGCGUAUGCGGUAUUAGCCUGGGUUUCCCCAGGUUAUCCCCCACUACCGGGCAGAUUCCUAUGCAUUACUCACCCGUCCGCCGCUCGCCACCAGGGAGCAAGCUCCCCGUGCUGCCGCUCGACUUGCAUGUGUUAGGCCUGCCGCCAGCGUUCAAUCUGAGCCAGAGAUACAAACUCUACGA